rnacentral:rRNA from 1 species
ACAUACGACCAUAGACGCUUGAGAACUCGGCAUCCCGUCCGCUCUGCCCUAGAUAAACAAGCGAUCGCCGGAUCAGUACUCAGGUGGGUGACCACUGGGGAAUCCCUGGUGUUGUAUGUU